UACAGAGGGUGCAAGCGUUAAUCGGAGUUACUGGGCGUAAAGGGCGCGUAGGUGGAUAUUUAAGUCAAUUGUGAAAUACCCGGGCUUAACCUGGGAAUUGCAGUUGAUACUGGGUAUCUAGAGUAUGGUAGAGGUAAGCGGAAUUCCAGGUGUAGCGGUGAAAUGCGUAGAUAUCUGGAAGAACACCAGUGCGAAGGCGGCUUACUGGACCAAUACUGACACUGAGGCGCGAAAGCAUGGGGAGC
rnacentral:rRNA from 1 species